ACUCCUACGGGAGGCAGCAGUGGGGAAUAUUGCACACUGGGCGCAAGCCUGAUGCAGCCAUGCCGCGUGUAUGAAGAAGGCCUUCGGGUUGUAAAGUACUUUCAGCGGGGAGGAAGGCGAUAAGGUUAAUAACCUUGUUGAUUGACGUUACCCGCAGAAGAAGCACCGGCUAACUCCGUGCCAGCAGCCGCGGUAAUACGGAGGGUGCAAGCGUUAAUCGGAAUUACUGGGCGUAAAGCGCACGCAGGCGGUCUGUCAAGUCGGAUGUGAAAUCCCCGGGCUCAACCUGGGAACUGCAUUCGAAACUGGCAGGCUAGAGUCUUGUAGAGGGGGGUAGAAUUCCAGGUGUAGCGGUGAAAUGCGUAGAGAUCUGGAGGAAUACCGGUGGCGAAGGCGGCCCCCUGGACAAAGACUGACGCUCAGGUGCGAAAGCGUGGGGAGCAAACAGGAUUAGAAACCCGGGUAGUCCCAUGA
rnacentral:rRNA from 1 species